GUUGAUCAUGGCUCAGGAUGAACGCUGGCGGCGUGCUUAACACAUGCAAGUCGAGCGGAGAUAUAAAAGGAAGCCUCGGGUGGAAUUUUACAUCUAGCGGCGGACGGGUGCGUAACACGUGGGUAACCUGCCCCUAUCACUGGGAUAACACACUGAAAAGUGUGCUAAUACCAGAUAACAUAAGCUUUUUGGCAUCAUUAGCUUAUCAAAGAAUUUCGGAUAGGGAUGGGCCCGCGUCUGAUUAGCUAGUUGGUGAGGUAACGGCUCACCAAGGCAACGAUCAGUAGCCGACCUGAGAGGGUGAUCGGCCACACUGGAACUGAGACACGGUCCAGACUCCUACGGGAGGCAGCAGUGGGGAAUAUUGCACAAUGGGCGAAAGCCUGAUGCAAGCAACGCCGCGUGAGCGAUGAAGGCCUUCGGGUCGUAAAGCUCUGUCCUAUGGGAAGAUAAUGACGGUACCAUAGGAGGAAGCCCCGGCUAACUACGUGCCAGCCGCUGC
rnacentral:rRNA from 1 species